AGCGGAAUUCGUGAGACCGCUCAACAUGGGCCAGAGGACACUCACAGAUGAGACACAAGGAAAUAUGUAUUAUUCUUUUGAUGCAUUGAAUUGUUGUGUUGUUUGUGCACUAUUUUUCUCAGUUGUAUGCUUCUUUGUUACUACACAUUGAUUUGAUCUUGAAGAUUAUUUCAACUAUAUUUUUAUUUUUUGUAUAGCUAUUUCUACUUUUACUUUGGUUUCCUAUUUUCUGUGCC
rnacentral:sRNA from 1 species